CGGGGUGUGGCGCAGUUGGCUAGCGCACCUGCUUUGGGAGCAGGGGGUCCCAGGUUCGAGUCCUGGUACCCCGA
rnacentral:tRNA from 1 species